rnacentral:rRNA from 1 species
AGUCUGCCUUGAAAUCGGAGUGCUUGCACUCUGUGAAACAAGAUACAGGCUAGCGGCGGACGGGUGAGUAACACGUGGGUACCUGCCCAAGAGAUCGGGAUAACACCUGGAAACAGAUGCUAAUACCGGAUAACAACAGAUGAUGCCUAUCAACUGUUUAAAAGAUGGUUCUGCUAUCACUCUUGGAUGGACCUGCGGUGCAUUAGCUAGUUGGUAGGGUAACGGCCUACCAAGGCGAUGAUGCAUAGCCGAGUUGAGAGACUGAUCGGCCACAUUGGGACUGAGACACGGCCCAAACUCCUACGGGAGGCAGCAGUAGGGAAUCUUCCACAAUGGACGCAAGUCUGAUGGAGCAACGCCGCGUGAGUGAAGAAGGGUUUCGGCUCGUAAAGCUCUGUUGUUGGUGAAGAAGGACGGGGGUAGUAACUGACCUUUGUUUGACGGUAAUCAAUUAGAAAGUCACGGCUAACUACGUGCCAGCAGCCGCGGUAAUACGUAGGUGGCAAGCGUUGUCCGGAUUUAUUGGGCGUAAAGCGAGUGCAGGCGGUUCGAUAAGUCUGAUGUGAAAGCCUUCGGCUCAACCGGAGAAUUGCAUCAGAAACUGUCGAGCUUGAGUACAGAAGAGGAGAGUGGAACUCCAUGUGUAGCGGUGAAAUGCGUAGAUAUAUGGAAGAACACCGGUGGCGAAGGCGGCUCUCUGGUCUGUUACUGACGCUGAGGCUCGAAAGCAUGGGUAGCGAACAGGAUUAGAUACCCUGGUAGUCCAUGCCGUAAACGAUGAGUGCUAAGUGUUGGGAGGUUUCCGCCUCUCAGUGCUGCAGCUAACGCAUUA